UACAGAGGGUGCAAGCGUUAAUCGGAAUUACUGGGCGUAAAGGGCGCGUAGGUGGUUAUUUAAGUCAGAUGUGAAAUCCCUGGGCUUAACCUAGGAAUUGCAUUUGAAGCUAGAUGGCUAGAGUAUGGUAGAGGGAAGUGGAAUUUCCGGUGUAGCGGUGAAAUGCGUAGAUAUCGGAAGGAACACCAGUGGCUAAGGCGACUUCCUGGACCAUUACUGACACUGAGGCGCGAAAGCGUGGGGAGCGAACAGG
rnacentral:rRNA from 1 species